rnacentral:rRNA from 1 species
UACAGAGGAUGCAAGCGUUAUCCGGAAUGAUUGGGCGUAAAGCGUCUGUAGGUGGCUUUUUAAGUCCGCCGUCAAAUCCCAGGGCUCAACUCUGGACAGGCGGUGGAAACUACCAAGCUGGAGUACGGUAGGGGCAGAGGGAAUUUCCGGUGGAGCGGUGAAAUGCGUAGAGAUCGGAAGGAACGCCGGUGGCGAAAGCGGCACGCUGGACCUCUACUGACGCUGAGGCGCGAAAGCCAGGGGAGCAAACGGG